rnacentral:rRNA from 1 species
AGUGAACGCUGGCGGUAGGCCUAACACAUGCAAGUCGAACGGCAGCACAGUAAGAGCUUGCUCUUACGGGUGGCGAGUGGCGGACGGGUGAGGAAUACAUCGGAAUCUACUUUUUCGUGGGGGAUAACGUAGGGAAACUUACGCUAAUACCGCAUACGACCUACGGGUGAAAGCAGGGGAUCUUCGUACCUUGCGCGAUUGAAUGAGCCGAUGUCGGAUUAGCUAGUUGGCGGGGUAAAGGCCCACCAAGGCGACGAUCCGUAGCUGGUCUGAGAGGAUGAUCAGCCACACUGGAACUGAGACACGGUCCAGACUCCUACGGGAGGCAGCAGUGGGGAAUAUUGGACAAUGGGCGCAAGCCUGAUCCAGCCAUACCGCGUGGGUGAAGAAGGCCUUCGGGUUGUAAAGCCCUUUUGUUGGGAAAGAAAAGCAGCAGGUUAAUACCCCGCUGUUCUGACGGUACCCAAAGAAUAAGCACCGGCUAACUUAGUG